rfam:Triticum aestivum genome assembly, contig: Triticum_aestivum_CS42_TGACv1_scaffold_472809_6AL
UUAGUACUCCUUCCGUUCUAAAAUUCUUGUCUUAGAUUUAUCUAAAUACGGAUGUAUCUAACACUACAAUGUAAUUAAAUACAUUCAUAUUUAGAUAAAUUUAAGACAAGAAUUUUGAUACGGAUGGAGUAUAAA